rnacentral:rRNA from 1 species
AGAGAUGUACUUUCCCCGCAAGGGGCUUGCCGCACAGGUGCUGCAUGGCUGUCGUCAGCUCGUGUCGUGAGAUGUUGGGUUAAGUCCCGCAACGAGCGCAACCCUCGCCUUUAGUUGCCAUCAUUUAGUUGGGCACUCUAAAGGAACUGCCGGUGACAAGCCGGAGGAAGGUGGGGAUGACGUCAAGUCCUCAUGGCCCUUAUGUCCUGGGCUACACACGUGCUACAAUGGUGGUGACAGUGGGAAGCUAUGUGGUGACACAGUGCUGAUCUCUAAAAGCCAUCUCAGUUCAGAUUGUACUCUGCAACUCGAGUACAUGAAGGUGGAAUCGCUAGUAAUCGCGGAUCAGAACGCCGCGGUGAAUACGUUCCCGGGCCUUGUACACACCGCCCGUCACAUCACGAAAGUGGGCCGUACUAGAAGCUGGUGUGCUAACCGCAAGGGGGCAGCCAUCCAAGGUACAGCUCAUGAUUGGGGUGAAGUCGUAACAAGGUAGCCGUAA